AGAUGACUGUGUUCCACAGCUGCAUAACUGUGUACCACUUGUCCCAGGAUGUGUGUUCCCCAUUUCUCAGGGUCCUGGAAUCCACGGCCUCCAUUUCCUCAUCUUGUGUUAAUGGAAUUGUAUCUGCAGCCAGAGAAAGAGGUUUCUAGUUAGUGAAUAUUGGCAAAGAUUCUAGGAAAGUUUGAGUUUUACUGAUGAAAGAGUGGAAUGUAGACAAGAUUCCAACUGGAGUAGCCCAGGAAAAGAGCUUGUCAGAUAAAGCUGAAAGGUAGGUGGAGUCACAGAUCUCAGUGGUCACCCCCAAGUGGAGAAGCUGUGCGAUGCUGAUGGCCUCUAGGGGGUGAGGCCACUGGGAACCAAGCCCUCCCCUGCAGCCCAGCGCUGUGUCCGCUGCAGCAUGGGAUCCUCGGGGCACUGGCUGGGGACAUCUGAAGAGGUUAUUGCUUCGCUGGCAUGGACGGCAAGGGUCACACUGCCCAGCUGUGAGUUGCCCCUCAAGCAGCACCCUGUCGCCAUUCCAGAGGAAUGUUCCAGAGGAAACAAGGAACUGAGCUUAGCUCAUCUCUGGUCUCUCCUCCCCUUAAAGAAAGCCCUAAAAUCAUUGAGCAUCUGGAGAAAAAGCCUUGGACAUUCAAACUGACUCCACUGGUCAAUUAAAGUUCAAAGUAAUGCCAAAUUUUAAACUCAAUCUCGACAGAACGCAGGGAUCAAAGGUUGCCCAGGGAAUGAGUGGCAGAGGCACACUUCCAGCCCAAGCCUGCUGCCACCAGGCCCAUGACACAGCAAGGAACAGGGCUGUGGAGGCAGGGGAGGCCACAGAGCUUGGGGCCCACCACUCCAGAAGGGCUGUCUGCAGAGAACAGACUUCUUCACCCUCAGGAACCUCACUGCAGCCCUACAUCUCUGCGGCUGGACGUCCCCAUUGAUCACAGACCAAGGCCAGGAUGUGCUCCAUAUGUCUUUCCCUUUCUGCUGUUUUCUAGGCCCGAGGAGUUGACCGUGUGAGUCCUGGCUUGUCAAUGGUGCAGCGGGGGCUGCAGCGACUCUGGCUCUGUGGCUUCACUGUGCCUGUGGGUGGCCGACGAAGCCAUCAUCUUGAGUGCAUGGUGCCACCAAUGCGUGUGGCAAUCAGACAGGAAAUGACAUGGCUAUAUUGAAGGCCAGCCUCCGGCACUGUGGCUUCACUGUGCCUGCGGGUGGCCGAUGAGGCCAUCGUCUGAGUGCACAGUGUCACCAGUGGAUGUGGCAAUCAGACAGGAAAUGACAUGGCUAUACCAAGGGCCAGCCGUGUCUAUGCUGCCUUCAGACAGUUGGGUCAACCCUUGCCAGGGUCCAGACUCAGUCUCUGAAAAGGUCCCCCUUCCUCAAUGCUCCUAAGACUGAAGCACCUACCUGGAGCUCACUGGGCCACUCACAUGGGUUUCCGUGGCUAUGCUACACGGGAAGCCAAGUCAUAGUCAGAAGCCACUUGACUGAUUGUGAAAAAAAUGGCUUUCAACAAGACCAGGAAUAAGCACAGCACAUGUUCUCUGUUUAGACAGCCAAGAGUGGUUAAUCUACUUGCCCAGGACGGGCCAGCUGGAGCUGCAGAGGAAUGAACCCAGAGCCUGUGCUCCAGGCAGGCACACACACGCCACACACGCAACCUCUGGGGGGUCACACACAUGACCUCCGAGGAGCUUCCCAUGCUAGUCUUGCACAAAUCCCUAAGAGUUAUUUCCAGGGUAUCAUAUGCUGAUACCCUGGAAACACAUGUUAAAAGCUGAUGAUGGUUACUUAGCGGGGUGUCUGGGCCUUUUUUGGUCAGAAACAAGAACUAGAAAGGAUGAAUCUGAAAUUCAGAGAAAGUAGAAUGAGCAGUUGCAACCAGCUCCACAGCUGAGUAGCUGCCAUCACCAGCCUGGAGGGUCAGGCUGCCUCACAGGCCCUUCACUCCAUUAUUGGGCAAAUGGAAAGGACUCAUUCGGGCUGUCUCCUGGGGGAAAGGUCAUAACGUGUGGCGCAGGAGCUUGUGUCUCUGAUAGGCUGCACACUCCUUCCAUGACUGAUGGUCAGCGUGGGGAAUGCUCCACAGGUUUUUUGAGUAUGAGAGCCCACAAGUAUUUUAGUUUAUGAAGAAUGUUCAUACAUGUCAUUUCAUUCAUGGGUGAACUCAAACUCGAAGGACACAGAGGCAGUAAACGCCAGGUGGACUCCACAUCAGGGGCCGACCAGGGUCCCAAGCCCAGUGAUCUCAUAAACCCCCAAAAGCGGGCCUCCGCCCCUGGGCUCUGGUAGAUGGCACUGGUAGCAUACUCUCCACCCCUUCCUGGCCAGUGGCACCCACUGCCUGCCUUCAUGCAGGAGAGAGAGCCUCAUUCAGGUCUUCAACAAGCCAGCUUUUAUUUUUAUUUCAGAUUUAAGCCAAUUCUUGUCAAGAUCAAUAGCAUCUUGGUCAAUAGAAUUAUUUGAAACCCUUAAGAUACAUAACUUUAAGUAGCCUUUGGAAUAAUGCACUUUAGAAAUAUUUUCAAAGGCAUUUGACUGGAACAGCAAGGGGGUUACUCUCACUGGAGAAUCCUUUCAGGGAGAUGAUUCGGCAGUUCAGAGUCAUUUGGGCAAGCGAUUCAUUCUCAGCAGACCACAAAUAUCCCCCAGCCCUUCCUCCAUCUGUGUCCCAAAACUAACAAGCCUGUUCUUCUCUUGGGAAACAUUAAUCUGACUAAUGGCCUCAAUCCCCAUCUCAUACCCUUCCUGGGAAGACUGGAUCAUCAUUAACAAACCCCAAAUCUUCCAGAACCUCCCUAUGACUGACCAACACUCAUGUCCCGACGUAUGGACUACUUCCUCACGUGCCCCCCAACUCUGUUUCUCUUGCUCCCAAUAGAUCAGCUCUCCCCUUGGCUGGAGGCAAGUGGACUGUGCAGGGGACACUCCCUGGCAGCACCAACCCGCCUGCUGCCCAGAUGCCCCUCACACCCUGCAGGGCCACGCUGCCAAAGGCCAUGGCUUCCUGGUGACAGCAGUACUCCUGGAAACAUUGUAAAUCAACCCCACAGCCUUUCCCAGCAUCUUUCCUGGGCAGAGGAGGAAAGAGCCCUGCUGUGAACAGUGUGGUCAUGGGCCAGGUGUCCAGGAACAAGAGAAGUCACCCGCAUGCUUGCAUUCCACAGAGGGCAGUUUCACUGGCCCUGGGUCUGCUAUCUGUCACACAGGUGGCACUGGAUUUCAGAGUUUCUGAGGGGCGUUUUCUUUUGUUCUUACCCCUACCAAACACUAUCUAUGCAGGUCAAAUCCAUAGCAUCUGUGGGCCCCUCAUUUGAGGACUGCCUAAGCUCAUUCUCCAUCAAGCAGGCAGAGACGAUGAAAACCAUUGCUUCAGAGUGUGUCUGCCUCAGUCCUGUCUCCUGGGGGACAGGGGUGUGUAGAGAGUAUGGCCACUGAGCCUGGACAGGAGCUGUGGGGUGGGUCUGCAAGCUGCGUGUCAGCAGUUGAGGUGAGGAAUGGUACAGAAUGAAGACUGUCUGUGAGUCCCCUGAAACUCACACCAUCAUUUCAGGUCUUCAUACACACGAAAUAAUCCAUGAGAUAACUUUUCCAAAUUAACUGCAAGAAGUCUUUAAGAGGUUGUGGGGGAACUUUUUACAGGAGCAUACGAUGGGAAAUGUUUUGAGGGAGUCUUAUUUCCCCCAAGACUAUUAGAAUUUUAAACACACAGGUCUCUCAGCAGGCUACCUCUGCUCUAAAAUGCUGAAAAUUCUAUAAAUUCUCAAUGAGCUGUUAUAAAGAGAUUGUGCCAUACCUGUUUAAAACUAGUGUACCUUAUUCUGAAGGGCUUAAAAUGUUG
rnacentral:lncRNA from 1 species